AGUGCUUGCACCUCUGGCGUCGAGCGGCGGACGGGUGAGUAAUGCUUGGGAAUAUGCCUUAUGGUGGGGGACAACAGUUGGAAACGACUGCUAAUACCGCAUGAUGUCUACGGACCAAAGUGGGGGACCUUCGGGCCUCACGCCAUAAGAUUAGCCCAAGUGGGAUUAGCUAGUUGGUGAGGUAAUGGCUCACCAAGGCGACGAUCCCUAGCUGGUUUGAGAGGAUGAUCAGCCACACUGGGACUGAGACACGGCCCAGACUCCUACGGGAGGCAGCAGUGGGGAAUAUUGCACAAUGGGCGCAAGCCUGAUGCAGCCAUGCCGCGUGUGUGAAGAAGGCCUUCGGGUUGUAAAGCACUUUCAGUAAGGAGGAAAGGUUAAGUGUUAAUAGUACUUAGCUGUGACGUUACUUACAGAAGAAGCACCGGCUAACUCCGUGCCAGCAGCCGCGGUAAUACGGAGGGUGCGAGCGUUAAUCGGAAUUACUGGGCGUAAAGCGUACGCAGGCGGUUUGUUAAGCGAGAUGUGAAAGCCCCGGGCUCAACCUGGGAACUGCAUUUCGAACUGGCAAACUAGAGUGUGAUAGAGG
rnacentral:rRNA from 1 species